CAGCAGCAUUUUCCCGGGUUGGGUGAAGUACCUCAUUUCCUCCCUCCCUGGUGUAUACUUUGGGGCUCUGACUCUAAAAAGAAAGGAAGAAGUGAUUUCUGCUUCCUGUAUUGCAGAAUCCUUGAAAUGAGGACCUGCAAAGAACCAGUCAAGAUUCUUGAAAUGCUAAGUCAGACAUGGAAAAUGACACACAAAUUCACAUUUCAGGAAAUGAUCCUGUCACACACCUACGAGAAGGGAAGAAAGUUGAUCCCAACUAAUGAAAGGCUGUUACAGGACAGUAUUAAGUAUUUGCAGCUCUGGACCUUCACGUGCUGCUUCACCACCCUCCCAGACACACCGUGUAUCAUCCAGGAGGUGUGUGCCCGUCCUGAAACAGACAUGUAAACUUCAUAACCAGAUUCCAAAUGCCUUCUGCUCCCACACCAGUUCCACCGCACUACCUCAAUGGAACUGGAGAUGGAGAGAGGCGACCUGAACUCCUAUUGAGAAAGAAACUGAGCCCCAUCUGGAAUCAGCAAGAAAGCACACAGCACCACUUAGUAACAUCUAAUAGAAAAUCAAGGCUGUUCCCAAGGCUGUUCUAGCUACAGCUCGAUAUUGUCUGGCAGCCCAGGGUGCAAGAGAGAUAUUCUUUCUUCUGACUCAAAUAUCCUAUUUCUUAAUACCAAAUUUGCACGAGCUUUGCUAGUGAGCCCAUCUCAUAAAAACAUCAACUAAACCAUCCAGAUCAUUCCAUGAAUUUAAUUACAGCAGAGCUUUUUGUACUCAUGCUAUGGCGCUAGUUUUCAUGUUAACUGAAAAAAUAAAGCAUCUGGAAUUAUG
rnacentral:lncRNA from 1 species